GGAGUUGUAGAUCAGAGGUAGAGCACUUACCUUACAAGUAUGAGGUACUGGGUUCGAUCCUAGCACCA
rnacentral:tRNA from 1 species